UGCGGGGUGGAGCAGUCUGGUAGCUCGUCGGGCUCAUAACCCGAAGGUCGUUGGUUCAAAUCCGGCCCCCGCAU
rnacentral:tRNA from 1 species